AGUGAACGCUGGCGGUAGGCCUAACACAUGCAAGUCGAACGGCAGCACAGUAAGAGCUUGCUAUUACGGGUGGCGAGUGGCGGACGGGUGAGGAAUACAGCGGAAUCUACUUUUUCGUGGGGGAUAACGUAGGGAAACUUACGCUAAUACCGCAUACGACCUACGGGUGAAAGCAGGGUAUCUUCGUACCUUGCGCGAUUGAAUGAGCCGAGUUCGGAUUAGCUAGUUGGCGGGGUAAAGGCCCACCAAGGCGACGAUCCGUAGCUGGUCUGAGAGGAUGAUCGGCCACAUUGGAACGGGGAAACGGCCCAACCCCCUAGGGGGGCAGCAGUAGGGGAUUAUUGGACAAUGGCCGCAGUCUGGACCCGGCCAUACCGGGUAGGUGAAGAAGUCUUUCGGGUGGUAAAGUCUGUUUGUAGGGAAAGAAGAGCGGCAGAGUAAAACGCCGCUGAUCUGACGGUACCCACAGAGUAAGCGACGGCUAACUACGUG
rnacentral:rRNA from 1 species